rnacentral:rRNA from 1 species
GGGGGAAUCUUGCACAAUGGGCGGAAGCCUGAUGCAGCGACGCCGCGUGCGGGACGAAGGCCUUCGGGCUGUAAACCGCUUUCAGCAGGGACGAGGCGAAAGUGACAGUACCUGCAGAAGAAGCCCCGGCUAACUACGUGCCAGCAGCCGCGGUAAUACGUAGGGGGCAAGCGUUAUCCGGAUUCAUUGGGCGUAAAGCGCGCGUAGGCGGCCAGCCUGGUCGGGAGUCAAAUCCGGGGGCUCAACCCCCGUCCGCUCCCGAUACCGGCCGGCUUGAGUCUGGCAGGGGAAGGCGGAAUUCCCGGUGUAGCGGUGGAAUGCGCAGAUAUCGGGAAGAACACCGGUGGCGAAGGCGGCCUUCUGGGCCACGACUGACGCUGAGGCGCGAAAGCUAGGGGAGCGAACAGGAUUAGAUACCCUGGUAGU